UACAGAGGUCCCGAGCGUUGUUCGGAUUCACUGGGCGUAAAGGGUGCGUAGGUGGCUUGAAAAGUUUGAUGUGAAAGCUCAGGGCUUAACCCUGAAAUGGCAUUGAAUACUGUCGAGCUGGAGGUUUGGAGGGGGGACUGGAAUUCUUGGUGUAGCAGUGAAAUGCGUAGAUAUCGUAAGGAAGGCCGGUGGCGAAAGCGAGCCUCUGGACAGUUACUGACGCUGAUGCACGAAGGCCAGGGGAGCAAACGGG
rnacentral:rRNA from 1 species